rnacentral:lncRNA from 1 species
UGCAACCCGAAAUUUUGUGUUCCUCCUUAUAGUAAAUUAUCAUUAAGAUUGGUUCCAUUUUACUCCAAAAAACCUGUCGGACAAAAAAAGGUGGAAGAAUAAUAAUAACAAAGAAACAUAAGAAAAGCAAUAUGUCACCCGACAUUGUCGAUCGGGUGACAUAACUAGAAUUGCCAUUGCAAGCAAUAGCGGAUGUCACCCUUCCCCCAUUGACACUAAGCGGC